CCUUGUUUUUCCUGAAAGACCUUAUUAACACUUAGUAAAUUAAAAACUAAGGAAAUUAAACUUCUGAGUCUCGAUAGCUAACCACCUUCAUCCUCGAGCAACAAACCCUCCAUAGCUAACCACCUUCUCACUCUCGGUCUCGAUAGCUAACCAUCGUCGCCCCCCACUCUCGGUCUCGAUAGCUCGCCAUUGACCCUCUCACUCUCGGUCUCGCCAUUCACCCUCUCAGUCUCGCCAUUCACCUUCUCACUACAAGCGGAAACCCUCUCACUGUCGCCGUUGAGAGUCAUCGCCUCCCACUCACGACUCACCUGCUCUACUCUCCACGGUGACCGUCGUCAUCUCCUCUUCGCCAUCGCUUGCACUGAUCGUCGCUGUGCGGCCCUCACCAUCGUCGGUGUGCGACCGUCACCAUCGUCGCUGCGCCGCUCUCACCAUCAUCAUCUCCGUGCUUCUCAUCAUCGUCUUCGCUGUGCUCACAUCAUUGAAUAGUUUGAACGGUUUCUUGGUUAGCCAGAAACAGAAAUGGUGUGAAGAAUGUAAAGAAUGAAAAGAAGACAAGGAGUAGAGAAGAAGUAGAAGAGGAAGAAGAAAGAGGCACAGACACUCGGCGGGGUAUUCUUAGCCAUUUGGUUAAGGCUUUGAUCAAAAGCAAAUUGAAACAUAUGUAGAUUACAUGCUGAGGGAAGGAACUGAAAUAUCACACUCACUCCUUGCAGCCAAUUUGUCAGGAUUACCUUCAUCAAAUUUUGGGUUGAACCAAGCAUACCAAUGUGAUCCAAAAGAAUUUGUUGGAAUUCAUGAACCAAUUGCAGAGCUAGAAUCAGUAUUGUGCAGGGAAUCGAAAGCUGUUCUUGUUGUCGGACUUUGGGGCAUGGGCGGUAUUGUUAAGACAACUCUAGCUAGUAAUAUUUUCAACAGAUUGCAAUAUGAAUUUCAAGGUGUAUGCUUUUUGGAGAAUGUAAGGGAGAGAGUUCAGAGAUAUGGCAUGACUCAUUUGAAGAAAGAGCUAUAUAAUUGAUUUUAAUAUAUAUCUCAAAUCCUUGUAUACACACCUGUAUACACACUUCUGAUAUGUCAAGGAAAGGGAGAUUUAAUAACAUGUUCUAAGCAAAAGAAUUCAGAGUUAUUUCACACGGUUCUUAGAGGCUUAGGACAAUUUGGAGUUAUAACAAGAGCAAGAAUUUCUCUUCACCCAGCACCCACAAAGGGUUCUUGGCCACAUCGCAGGCGAACACUGGAGAAUUCUGUGCCCCAACUCCACUGGAGCUGAAGAACAGAGCCACGAAAGAGAGCAAAACAGAGACCUUGGGUGCUCUAUUUUCCGAAAGAGCCAUUCCCAUUAUGGAAUAGCCAAACAAGGGUACACUAGUUAUGAAUAUCAUGAGCUAUGUAUA